rnacentral:rRNA from 1 species
CCACACCAAAAAAACUAUCCACGUGAACCGUUAAGUAAAAGUCUAGUUGGCUUGUGUUGUUGGGGAGUGUGUUGGGAAAAGCUUGGAGAUGUCUUUGGAUAUUUCGAUGCGUAGUACUGGUCAUUCUAACGAGCGAGUCGGGUAGCAACGAAGGUCGGGAGUUCGCUUGCGGACUGAUGUGCGCUUGUCGCAUGUCGGUCGAAAGGCUUGAGCAAACGGCUGAUCUAUUCMUUUUAAACCAUACCAUAAGUACUGAUUAUACUGUGGGGACGAAAGUCCUUGCUUUUAUUGACAACAACUUUCAGCAGUGGAUGUCUAGGCUCGCACAUCGAUGAAGAACGCUGCGAACUGCGAUACGUAAUGCGAAUUGCAGAAUUCAGUGAGUCAUCGAAAUUUUGAACGCAUAUUGCACUUCCGGGUUAUGCCUGGAAGUAUGUCUGUAUCAGUGUCCGUACAUUAAACUUGCCUCUCUUCGUCGGUGUAGUCCGGCUUGGAGAAAGAGCAGAGGUGAAGUGUCUCGCGCCAUGUUUGUGAAGUAUUUGAUAUUUCGCGAGUGCACGAGUCCUUUGAAAUGGACUACGGUCUUUCUAUUGCGCUGUUCCAGGGCGUGUGUUUUGAACGCGGUGGUCUCGUCGAUUGCUUGCAGAUGUUUAAGACCUUGGCGGGGACAAUGGAAGAAACCUCCUUUUCGCGGUACGUUCGGCUUCGGCUCGACAAUGUUGUGAGAGGGUGUGUGUCUUUCGUCUCUUAGCUUUGAGGUGUAUAUUGUACUGUGUGUGGUUUGUCGAGUCUUUGCCGGUAGUAGAAAUGCGCGUUUGUYGGCACGCACUUGCUGUGAGGUAUAUUACUGUGGCGUAAUGUACUUUGUAGAUAGAGAGAUUGAUUUGGGAAAUUCUGUGCUACAUGGCAUGCUCAUCGAGCUCUCCGCUGAGAGUUUGUGUGUGUGUGUGUCGGUAGUAUCUCAAUUGGACCUGAUAUCAGACAAGACUACCCGCU